CAGUAGCCACGGGAAUGCGUAGGUGGCAAGCGUUGUCCGGAAUUAUUGGGCGUAAAGGGCUCGCAGGCGGUUUCUUAAGUCUGAUGUGAAAGCCCCCGGCUCAACCGGGGAGGGUCAUUGGAAACUGGGAAACUUGAGUGCAGAAGAGGAGAGUGGAAUUCCACGUGUAGCGGUGAAAUGCGUAGAGAUGUGGAGGAACUCCAGUGGCGAAGGCGACUCUCUGGUCUGUAACUGACGCUGAGGAGCGAAAGCGUGGGGAGCGAACAGGAUUAGAUACCCCCGUAGUCCCUGUCUCUUAUAA
rnacentral:rRNA from 1 species